GAUGAACGCUGGCGGCAUGCCUAAUACAUGCAAGUCGAACGAGAGGAAGGAAAGCUUGCUUUUCUGAAUCUAGUGGCGAACGGGUGAGUAACACGUAGGUAACCUGCCCAUGUGCCUGGGAUAACUUCUGGAAACGGAUGCUAGAACCGGAUAGAUAGCAGACAAGCAUUUGACUGCUAUUAAAGUGGCUAAGGCCAUGAACAUGGAUGGACCUGCGGUGCAUUAGCUAGUUGGUGAGGUAACGGCCCACCAAGGCGACGAUGCAUAGCCGGCCUGAGAGGGCGGACGGCCACAUUGGGACUGAGACACGGCCCAAACUCCUACGGGAGGCAGCAGUAGGGAAUUUUCGUCAAUGGGGGGAACCCUGAACGAGCAAUGCCGCGUGAGUGAGGAAGGUCUUCGGAUCGUAAAGCUCUGUUGUAAGAGAAAAACGACAUUCAUAGGGAAUGAUGAGUGAGUGAUGGUAUCUUACCAGAAAGUCACGGCUAACUACGUGCCAGCCGCCGCAGUAA
rnacentral:rRNA from 1 species